CACGUAGGGGGCGAGCGUUGUCCGGAUUCAUUGGGCGUAAAGCGCGCGCAGGCGGCUUGGAAAGUCGGGUGUGAAAACUCGGGGCUCAACCCCGGGCGUGCAUCCGAUACUGCCAGGCUUGAGGCAGGUAGGGGAGAUCGGAAUUCCGGGUGUAGCGGUGAAAUGCGUAGAUAUCCGGAGGAACACCGGUGGCGAAGGCGGCUUCCUGGACCGACACUGACGCUGAGGCGCGAAAGCUAGGGGAGCAAACGGG
rnacentral:rRNA from 1 species